rnacentral:rRNA from 1 species
CAGUCGUACCUAUGGGUAAUCAGCCUUUUGGGUGUGAUUUUGUGGAGCGUGAGGAGUUAAACGCCUUCAUGCCUGCAUAUUCGUGCACUUUGGGUGUACUUGCCCGUGUGUAAGUUAACAUCAAUUUUGGUGGUCAUAAAACGGCUGGAGGAAUGUAGCUUCGAUCUUGUAUUGAAGUGUUAUAGCCUUCGGUAGAUGUGACGAUCGGGAUUGAGGAUUGCAACGGAUACCCUUGUGGCUGGUCACCUGGCUUCUGACGGUUACCCCGCUUUCGGCAGCUUGCUAACGUUAGUGGACUCGAUUGUCUAGAUGUCAGAUUGAUUCAUUUUUCGCUAGGAUGCUGACGU